GUCAGCGUUAACUCCGCUGCGCUGCUGCCUCUUCCUGCUUUGCCCCGGUAGCUUCAGCUCGUCAGCGCCAUGACAGUGCAGCCCUUGAGUGGGUUUGCGCAUGCGCAGUGAGGAGCCGGGGCUAUUCAUCUCGGCGGCAGUGGGAAACAGGUUCACUGGACACACACACGGCAAGUGUAAACAUACACAUAAUGGCUAAAUAUGAACACUGAACCCUAUUAUGCUGUGUUUCAGAUCACAGUUUGUAAUGCAGUGUAGGCAGAUUAUUCAAAUUAUGAGCAACUAAUACAAAAUGAAGGAGAAUUUUAUUCCAUGAUAUCUAUCUAAGUGUGGUGUACCCAUUGUCAGAGUUGAGAAACAUGUUAAAAUAUAUGUUUUAUCUACAGUAAAAAUAAGAUUCGCCUACUGUAACCGAUUUUUAAAAACACUACAAAAAAAAUAAAUGCCUUUUAGCACCAUACAAUGAGUGAAUGCAAGAAAACUAGUCUGACCCUGCAGAAUGUAAUUUAAUGUGGGCAAACACUAUACAAAAAACAUAGAGUGGGAGUUUAAUACACGUAUACCUUGUUUUCCACCAGCACACGGGCCCAGUGACUGAUAUCCAAAUCCCAUGGCAAUGAAUAGCAAACAAUAAAGCAACGUGAUAGCUG